rnacentral:rRNA from 1 species
UAGGGCUACACACGUGCUACAAUGGCAGGUAUAACGCGUUGCCAACUCGCGAGAGUGCGCUAAUCGCUAAAAGCCUGUCCCAGUUCAGAUUGUAGUCUGCAACUCGACUACAUGAAGUUGGAAUCGCUAGUAAUCGCAGAUCAGCAUUGCUGCGGUGAAUACGUUCCCGGGUCUUGUACACACCGCCCGUCACACCACGAGAGUUGGUCGCGCCCGAAGCCGUGACCCCAACCGCAAGGAGGGGAGCGUCUACGGCGAGGUCGGCGAUUGGGGUGAAGUCGUAACAAGGUAGCCGUAGGGGAACCU